rnacentral:rRNA from 1 species
UUGACCUCGGAUCAGGUAGGGAUACCCGCUGAACUUAAGCAUAUCAAUAAGCGGAGGAAAAGAAACCAACAGGGAUUGCCCUAGUAACGGCGAGUGAAGCGGCAACAGCUCAAAUUUGAAAUCUGGCGUCUUUGGCGUCCGAGUUGUAAUUUGCAGAGGGCGCUUUGGCAUUGGCAGCGGUCCAAGUUCCUUGGAACAGGACGUCACAGAGGGUGAGAAUCCCGUACGUGGUCGCUAGCCUUUACCGUGUAAAGCCCCUUCGACGAGUCGAGUUGUUUGGGAAUGCAGCUCUAAAUGGGAGGUAAAUUUCUUCUAAAGCUAAAUACUGGCCAGAGACCGAUAGCGCACAAGUAGAGUGAUCGAAAGAUGAAAAGCACUUUGGAAAGAGAGUUAAAAAGCACGUGAAAUUGUUGAAAGGGAAGCGCUUGCAGCCAGACUUGCCUGUAGUUGCUCAUCCGGGUUUCUACCCGGUGCACUCUUCUAUAGGCAGGCCAGCAUCAGUUUGGGCGGUUGGAUAAAGGUCUCUGUCAUGUACCUCUCUUCGGGGAGAACUUAUAGGGGAGACGACAUGCAACCAGCCUGGACUGAGGUCCGCGC